GUUCUCCCUUUGCAGACUUUGUGGAGUGGCUGCUGCAGCUUUGCAUCUCCUCGCUCACCCCCUGGGCCAACUACCAGAGGAAGAAGACGGCUCUGCUCCUGCUGACGGCCAUUCUGGAGACCUGCACAGACACCUGGAGCCCUGAGAGGAAGAAAGGACAGCCCCCGCAUCAGGGACACGGCCUCAGAGCUGCUCGUCCGCUACUUCCCUGCAGCGUUCCCUGAGACCCUCACCCCAGCACUGCUCCGCUUGGCCCAGGAUGCCCUCAGCAGCCCCCGCGUGCAGGAGGCCGAAGCCGGAGCGGUGCUUAUGAAGACAGUCCUGCACAAGUCAGACAGCAGCACCCUGAAGCUCCUGGCCCUGGAAGCCAAAACAGCCCAGACACUGACAAACCGCAGCCUGUACUUCGCCCAGCACCUGCUGCGGGUACUGCAGGCCCAGCUUGCCACAGC
rnacentral:lncRNA from 1 species